GAUUAAGAACGUAGCGAAAUGCGAUACUUGGUGUGAAUUGCAGAAUCCCGUGAACCAUCGAGUCUUUGAACGCAAGUUGCGCCCGAAGCCAUUAGGCCGAGGGCACGCCUGCCUGGGCGUCACACGUCGUUGCCCCCCCAUCUACUCCUUCGGGAUUGCGGGGGGCGGAUGAUGGCCUCCCGUGCGCCUCGUCGCGCUGUUGGCAUAAAUGCCAAGUCCUCGGCGACGCACGCCACGACAAUCGGUGGUUGCGAAACCUCGGUUGCCCGUCGUGUGCGGUCGUCGCGCAUCGAGGGCUCGAAAAAAUUGCCGGGCUCCGGCUCGGCUUUCAACGCGACCCCAGGUCAGGCGGGGUUACCCGCUGAAUUUAAGCAUAUCAAUAAGCGGAGGA
rnacentral:misc_RNA from 1 species